rnacentral:rRNA from 1 species
UACGUAGGGGGCAAGCGUUGUCCGGAUUUACUGGGUGUAAAGGGCGUGCAGCCGGGCUGACAAGUCAGAUGUGAAAUCCCGCGGCUCAACCGCGGAACUGCAUUUGAAACUGUCAGUCUUGAGUACCGGAGAGGUCAUCGGAAUUCCUUGUGUAGCGGUGAAAUGCGUAGAUAUAAGGAAGAACACCAGUGGCGAAGGCGGAUGACUAGACGGCAACUGACGGUGAGGCGCGAAAGCGUGGGGAGCAAACAGG